rnacentral:rRNA from 1 species
UACGUAGGGUGCAAGCGUUAAUCGGAAUUACUGGGCGUAAAGCGCACGUAGGCGGAUCGAUCAGUCAGGGGUGAAAUCCCAGGGCUCAACCCUGGAACUGCCUUUGAUACUGUCGAUCUGGAGUAUGGAAGAGGUGAGUGGAAUUCCGAGUGUAGAGGUGAAAUUCGUAGAUAUUCGGAGGAACACCAGUGGCGAAGGCGGCUCACUGGUCCAUUACUGACGCUGAGGUAGCGAA